rnacentral:sRNA from 1 species
ACCUGAAAUGGAAGGCGAAGCAGCCAUAUGGUGG